GACGAACGCUGGCGGCGUGCUUAACACAUGCAAGUCGAACGAUGAAGCCGGAGCUUGCUCUGGUGAAUUAGUGGCAAACGGGUGAGUAACACGUGAGUAACCUGCCCUUGACUCUGGGAUAACUGCGGGAAACUGUAGCUAAUACCGGAUACGACCCUCGGAGGCAUCUCCUGGGGGUGGAAAGAACUUCGGUCAAGGAUGGACUCGCGGCCUAUCAGCUAGUUGGUGAGGUAAAGGCUCACCAAGGCGACGACGGGUAGCCGGCCUGAGAGGGUGACCGGCCACACUGGGACUGAGACACGGCCCAGACUCCUACGGGAGGCAGCAGUGGGGAAUAUUGCACAAUGGGCGCAAGCCUGAUGCAGCAACGCCGCGUGAGGGAUGACGGCCUUCGGGUUGUAAACCUCAUUUAGCAGGGAAGAAGCGAAAGUGACGGUACCUGCAGAAAAAGCACCGGCUAACUACGUGCCAGCCGCCGCCGUAA
rnacentral:rRNA from 1 species